AAAAAUCCAAUUAACAAAAUGUUGGCAGGACAAAAAUAUUUAAGUUGAACUAAUUUUAUUGCUUGGGUUACGUUGAGAAGACAUUAUAUUAAGUCUGCACAAAUAUACUUUAAAAACAUUAAAUGAAUGAUUAUUUUCAAAUCCAGUCAACGUUCAGAAUGCCAAUGUCUGACUGAACUAAUAAAAACAAAUCCAGCCAACACUGACGUCAUUCCGCACGUGCACGAGCCUGAGUGACUUCGCGGGAGAAACAGUGCCGCCAUCUUGUCAAGUUCACGCGUCAGUCACCGCAUGCUCCCUGUUGUGCUCUGGAUUGUGGAAUGGAUGUGUGCCCAAAAAAAGGGUGUGGCUAAAGGUUUCAUUGGUGCUUUGUCAUCAUUGCAAGAUUUCAGAUGCAACCCAGUCAGUUCUUUCAAGGCACCAAACACUGGCACGUGACCAGACUGCUCCACUGCAACUACAUACUGUGUGUACUUUCAAGACUAGGAUUUUUUGUUUUCAUUCCAGUCUGUUUCAUUCUUAUUCCGAGGUGAAUGUAGCCACCCAGAUCCAGUCU